UCAUCCAUAUAGUGACGAGAAAUUCAAAAGAGAGGGGGGGGGGAAAAUAAUAAUAAUAAAAAAAGUUAAAAAAAAAAAAAAAGAAAAAAACAAACCUAAUUUUAAAAGUAAUUUAAGCAAAAUGUUUGUGUGUAAGAAAGGGUUGAAACCGUCACACGUCUGUGUCCCACGCCGGUGGGAUCUGAGAAGGUACCCGCGAGAUGUUCACCCCGUCCUGCUCUCUGUGGUGCUGAGUGUUUGCUUGGUGUGUACUUCUGACCUGGAGCUUGUUGUAAAUACUGUUUUUAGUACUAUGAUUAUUACUAUGAUGAUGAUUAUUCUCCGUGAGUUGGUUGUUUGAGUUCUAAGGCUCCUGUGUGUAUUGUGGGAAUACCAAUAAAAGGCAUUAAACAGAAAACGAACCCGAGGGUUUUACAAAACGGAAUCCAAGCCUCUGUAUGUUAAAUGAGUACUUUGCACCCGUACGAAAGAUGCAGAAACUGAACCCAUCCUUUAUCACCAUUCUCAGAGGAAAAGAAAGUAAUAUAAUGCUCAACUGCAGGCACCACCCUGAGCCCUGCACUUAGAGGUGAGGGCAUGCAGCGGCGUAACAGAGGACGAGCAAAACGUUAUGAGAUGAUUGCAAAUACAAUAAAUCCAGUUCUG
rnacentral:lncRNA from 7 species